rnacentral:rRNA from 1 species
AAGACUGCCGGUGAUAAACCGGAGGAAGGUGGGGAUGACGUCAAGUCAUCAUGGCCCUUACGAGUAGGGCUACACACGUGCUACAAUGGCAUAUACAAAGAGAAGCGAACUCGCGAGAGCAAGCGGACCUCAUAAAGUAUGUCGUAGUCCGGAUUGGAGUCUGCAACUCGACUCCAUGAAGUCGGAAUCGCUAGUAAUCGUAGAUCAGAAUGCUACGGUGAAUACGUUCCCGGGCCUU